rnacentral:rRNA from 1 species
UGGACCUCAGAUCAGGCAAGAUUACCCGCUGAGUUUAAGCAUAUCACUAAGCGGAGGAAAAGAAACUAACAAGGAUUUCCUUAGUAACGGCGAGCGAACCGGAAGAGCCCAGCUUGAAAUCG